CCAAAAAAAAAAAAAAAAAAAAAAGAAAAGAAAAAGUGCUUCCAUAUGCAAUUUAUUACUUGCUUUAUAUGUCGGAGGCUGCAGCAAAACCCAAAACUUUCUCUGUUUUUAUUCAACAAGAAAAACUUUCUCAUUUCGGCAUUCUGAGAUCUCCAACCACCAUAUAAACAACAAUUUGUUUCAAACCACAGUUGUUUCUCUGCUCUAUUCCUUUCUGAAAUGCCAAAUUAACUAUGGCUGCCGAAUUGGUGGGUGGAGCUUUUCUCUCAGCUUCCCUUCAGGUUCUGUUUGAUAGGAUGGCUUCCCAAAAGGUCGUUGACUUCGUUCGAGGAAAAAAGUCAAUGAAGGGCUGCUCAAGAAGUUGAAGAUCGUGUUAUUGUCUGCUAACAGAGUGUUGAAUGAUGCUGUGAUGAAGCAACUCACGGACCCAGAUUUGAGGAAGUGGCUUGAAGAGCUCAAAGAUGCAUUCUACAACGCAGAGGACUUGGUGUACGGGAUCAACACCGAAGCUCUGCGAUCUGAGAUUGAAGAUCGCUCUUCAGCGAGCAGCACAUUUUUUAAGCGAAUAACCAGUUGGUGGCUUCACUCCCAAAAUGUCACUAUCCAUCACUUGCUAUCUUGAAAAUAGAAGAUUGUCCAGAAGUAAAGUCAUUUCCAUGAGGUAGAUUGCCCUUUAAUUAUACACACAUUGGUUAUCAAGAGGUUUGAAAACCUGGUCACACUUUUGGAAGAAGGAUGGCCUUCAUAUUUACAGUCACUUGAAAUUUCUAGCUGUCUAAAGCUGUUUGCACAGCCCGUGCAAUGGAAUCUGCAAAUGCUCACCUCUCUUACAUCCUUAUAUAUCGACUGCGUAGAUGAAAAGCUAGAUUCAUUUCCUGAGGAAGGACAACUUCCUACCACUUUAAUUUCUCUCGAGCUAUUUCUUUUUCAAAACUAAAAUCCUUUAAUGGCAAGGCUUUUUGACAUCUUUCCUGCCUUCAACAUUUGAAAAUUUCACUUUGCCCAGAACUUGAUUGCUCGCCAGAAGAAGGUCUCGAGGCUUCGCUGUCUCUUUUGGACAUCAGUUCCUGUCCUUUGCUAAGCCCAAGUUGCCUAGGGAAAGAUUUGUCCGAGAUUGCUCACAUCCCUCACGUAUACCCAGGUGAUCCAUAUUCAAAUUGGCCAGGGAUAGACCUGUCUAUCCUGUGUAAAAAUGUUCAGGUGGUUCGAUUUUAGUAAUGAAAAAACAACUCAGUAAGAUUCUCUUCCUUUUUGCUUCGUAAAAGUAGCUAUACUUAGAUGUAAAUAUUCGAUAUCCAUUUAAAUGCAGCUCAUGUCCUCACUCUGGCACAGCCCCGCAGUUGUGGAUAAAUCAGAAAAAAAUAUAAAAGCGAUUUGUUAUUAUGCUGUUGUUCUAUUAUAAACUUUUUUCCUCACUAUUUAACUACCUUGUGAUAAAGAUUCAUAUCCAAGUUCUCACAAUUGCAGUACCACUGUUGGAAGCAAAGUACAGUUAUUCUCAAUAGAUGAUUCAAUAGUGAAAAUCUUUUUCGUUUUGAGAUUCAGUUCUAGCUCUUCUUGGCCAUUUUUGUGCUCAGGUAUCUAUUACCUACUACCACAGACUCUAUGACUGUUACCAACUGUUUUUGGGAAUUGAUAUCUGGGUUUUGAUCACCUUCCUACUUUCCACUGCCAUUUGACUUUUAGCUAUGGUAUAUUGCAGUCAGCAUCAAGUUUCCAAAAAGAUGGUUUUUCUUAAUUCAUUCAGGUGAUAAAAACCAGAAAUUACACAGUAAUAAUGAAAAGAUGUAUAUUUUAUACUACCUUUCUGCAGGAAUUUACAGGAACGUUUAAAGCACUUCACAACAUUGUACCACAAAUCGAAAUUUAAUUCUUGCUUUUUUAAGGUAUGCCUCUCAGUUAGCUUCAUAAAUCCUCAUAGAAUUGGCAAGUUACAUGAUCUUUGUUAGAGAUUCAAUUUGCCAUGUGAUAGCAAUUUUGUGGCCUCUUUUCCUUUUAUAAAUUCUGGUUGUUUUCCUGUUUCUAACUCAAGAAUUUCAAAUUAUAAUCUUUACAAUUAUAUAGAAAAUCUUAGAACUUGUUUAAACUGAUAUAUUGCAUGCAACUUAAAUUCUUUCUUCAUGGUUUAUCACUGCUUUAAUGAAAUCUUGACAGGGUUUUCCCUUCCAGUUCGAAAGUUCCCUCAUUGUUUGAACUGAAUGCUUGUCUUUUAACCAUAGUUGAUUUCAACAGUGCCAAGAUUCUGGUUUAGCUGGGGAUAGAUCUCAACUUUCUGUUGUAGCAGACAUUCAUAUACAAUCUCCGAUAGUAUAGCAUAGCUAAUGGAAUUUAAUCAUGUAUUCAGAAAAACUGAAUUCACUUCUUUUCUUUAUUACUUUUGUUUUCCAAUGUUGAUGUUCAUGCAUUGCUUGUGGCAGAAGAUGAUGUAGUUUAAUUCUAGCUGUAAGCUUGUGGCUUCCUUUACAAUAUGUAAGAUAGUUCUUCAGCACCUUGAGAGCAAAAUUUUUCACCUUUGGAGUGUUAUAUUAAAACAUUUCCAGUUCCAACA